CCUGGCGGCCAUAGCGCCGUGGAACCACCUGAUCCCAUGCCGAACUCAGAAGUGAAACGCGGUAGCGCCGAUGGUAGUGUGGCAUUCGUCAUGCGAGAGUAGGACACUGCCAGGC
rnacentral:rRNA from 1 species